AGGGCACCACCAGGAGUGGAGCCUGCGGCUUAAUUUGACUCAACACGGGGAAACUUACCCGGCCUGGACACUGGAAGGAUUGACAGAUUGAGAGCUCUUUCUUGAUUCAGUGGGUGGUGGUGCAUGGCCGUUCUUAGUUGGUGGAGCGAUUUGUCUGGUUAAUUCCGAUAACGAGCGAGACUCUAGCCUAUUAAAUAGGCUCCCGGCUUUUAAACGCCGGGAGGACUUCUUAGAGGGACAGGUGGCGGUUCAGCCGCACGAAAGAGAGCAAUAACAGGUCUGUGAUGCCCUUUGUUGUCCGGGGCCGCACGCGCGCUACACUGAAGAGAUCAGCGUGCUUUAUGUUCCUGCUCCGACCGGAGUGGGGAACCCAGUGAACCUUCUUUGUGAUUGGGAUAGAAGAUUGUGAUUAUUCCUCUUGAACGAGGAAUUCCCAGUAAAUGCGAGUCAUAAGCUCGCGUUGAUUACGUCCCUGCCCUUUGUACACACCGCCCGUCGCUACUACCGAUUGAACGAUUU
rnacentral:rRNA from 1 species